ensembl:lncRNA
CUGACAUUGAGAAGAUGGAAGCAGCAAUGCAACCAGAGUCCCAUUUCCACAUUCUGAAGUAAAGAGGCAAUCUUGCAUCAUGGAUGAAUUUAUUCCUUUACAGAUGGGUGGUAGUGGGUUUUCCAUUCUGUGUACUGCCAACUUUCUCCAAGAUUUAUGUCACCUAAUGACAAUGAGAGUACAUCUAGCUACAAGCAGCUUUCUGUAUAACCUGCUGAUCAGUGUUUUUCCUGUGGUACGACAGACUAAGCUCUCCUAUUGAUCUUACUGAGAUGAAACACUGGAUUCAUAAGACCAAUGCAUGACACAAUCUCAGCUUCCUUCAUCCCCUCCGUGUUUGUUAUGUCAAACCCACUGCCACUCUCCAGGUCCGACCAGAGCUGGUUGUCAGGUGCUGUCCAUGCAAGCCUCUCUAGAGCACCACAAGGCAGAGUGACUUUCAUCAUGCUGCUAAGGAGACCAUUGCUUGCCAGUGAGUUCUGCCAAUCUGAGUUCACAUUUUGUAUCAACAAGAUUUGUAUACUUUAUUGUCAUUUCAUAGGCUUUAUUGUCAUAUGCACCUGUAACUCCAUCAAUGUUCACAGUCACUCACCCUGGGGCAGUAAAGCUUUGCCACAGAAAUACUUGAGAAGGACCAUGGCUGCCAUUCAAGACCAUCUGGUACUAAACAGUAUGUCUCUAAACCCAUGUUUACCCAGGUAUCAAUCGAGGCCGUUUUCUAUCUAGACCUCUGCUGUAAGUGGCCACUCAAUUUGUCCAUAAGAUAAAUGUACAGUAUUCCUAGCAGAGCUCAUAAUGAGUGUACAUGAAUGACCUUUCAAAAGCUCUCUGACUCCUUCAAAACACAAGCAGAGAGAAAGUCUGUAUUUGCAAGAUCAGAAAUAAAAUGAAAACCUCACUUUGACUGAAUAAAAAAGCCAUAUACAGGAAAGCCCUUGAUGAAUAGCAUACUUUUAACAAAAAUACCAUUUCCUUUGCCACAAUAAAUGUUGUUUCAGAUUCUGAAAUUAAGUGCUUGUUCCACUGAGCUGUAACAUUUUGUUAAGCUGCAGAGACGUUAGAGGAACAACUAUUCCGUUUCUUACAGACUUCAGCUAUUUACAAUUCUCUUUUAAUAUUUCUUUUUCUGGAGGAGAGAAACACGUUCUAGGAUUUUCUCUAAGCCUGUUUUGGUUCAUUAUGGAGGUCUGACUUUCUGCAUCCACUAAAGCAACCACUGAUGAACUACUUUUGCGGCCUUAGGGAAACCUGAACCUGGAGCCAGCUUUUAGAAUUCACCGGCAGGCCCAGGUCCUUGGCUGCCGUGGCAGAGGCUCUGCUCCUCUCAGAAAGUUUGGAGGAUUUAUGGAGGACUUAAGUAGCAGCUACAAAUCAUGGUUCUGUUUCAGCUCAAGAGUGAACUGCAUUUAAGGGAGCAUUGUUGUAACAAGAAGAAAACUUCCCAGCUCAAGUGUUUCCAAGCUAUUAAUCAUUUCCCAAGUAUCUGUCCCCCUGGAAAUUCUCCAAGUCCUUAUGAUACUGCUCUCAUAAACAAUUAUUUUCUUUCCUGAACUCCUGUAAUAAAAUUCAUACUGGAUGUUGCUCUUAGGACUCCUUGGCUCCUCUCUUUUUUCUUUUUUCUUUUUUUCAGAUUGGGAAGUGGAAGAGAAGGAUUUUAUUUUAUUUUAUUUUUGUCUGUUUAGAUUGUGCACCCUUUUAAUAUCAUUACUAAACAGAACUCCAACAGGAAAAGAAAGUGAAUGGACUUCAAUAAUUUCUUCUGAGCAUUUUUUGAUGGCACAGUCACAACAGAUACUUUGGCCAAAUGCCUGUUGUCAGCCUGUUGUUAGAAAAAAAUGAGACAGGACGGGGGAAUACGCUUUAUUUUUGAGUGCCUACAAAUACAUAGACAAAUACAUAGAUCAGCAGCCUGCUGGACAUGCCCCUGUAAAUAUGCACAUCAUCAGACAGCCCUGGGGUUUCAGUCCUGCUGAUUGUUAUUUAUGGAGAUUAAUACAAAAUUAUGCAUGACUCACAUGUUGUAAUUUUGUUCAAGGGUCUAAGAAAUAUCAUAGAAUCAUAGAAUCACAGAAUGGCCUGCAUUGAAAAUACGCCUCUGUUCUUGUGCUAUUUUGAGCAUAUUCCCUUCACUGAUCUGACAGUAGUUCAUUCAUUUGCUUUUAUAAACUGAGACUUCUCCGUCUUUUUGUACCGGCAUCCUGCACACAACUCUCCCCUGAAGAGGAACUGGGGAGUAAAUGUUUGCUACUGGCUCCAUUUUCACAGCCUUCCUCCACCGCUCCUUUACGCCAUGAGUGCAGCCCAUUUCUACAUGAUACAGCUGCCUUGCUAGGAGGAAAACUGCUGCUGUGCACAGGCUCACACAUUCACACUGCGUGCACACGCACAUCCCGCAUUAGCUGAGGGAAGAGCUGCCAGAUUUUUAACUCUUCCUAUGAGGCCUCAGCUGUGGAUCCUAAUGGAAACCUGCAUGGCACACCAGCAUGAGUUGCUCCGAGCUACUCGCCUAUCCCUGUGCUGCAGGCUGCCCGCUACAGCGCGGCGCUGGCUGUAAUGCAAGCUGACAUCUCCGGUGUGCUACAUGUUUAAAGCACUGCAUAGUGCUCAUUCCUUAAUGCACCUCCACCACGUGUGGCGGACAGGAACACACAGCAAGCCUCAAGAGGUGCCUGGCACAGAGCAACCAGCCAUGCCAGGGCCUGGCUGGGAGCUGCGUGUAUCAGCGCGUGCCUUGGUGGCGGGUGUGGAAGCGGCCACAUUUGGGAUGGCUUUUAGUCAAGUUGUAGUGAUUUCCAACUCGGGAGAGAGACUUUGGGUUGUGAAGAAUGCUGCAGUUACCAUCAUUAGCAGUUCUUCACCUGCUGCUGCUGUUUUGGCUUUAGAUUAUUUUGGACAGGAAAUCUUGGGGAUGAAAUGAAUAUAAAACCAGACACGUUUAUACUUUGGGUGCAGAAUUUCCCCUGCACAGAUGCUUUAUCCCAACAGCAUUUUCAGCACGGCUCUUAGUGACAUUACAGGAAUGGCAUUCCCAUCCUUCCAAGCGAAGCACGGUGCGGACUCCUCGCACAACCACGUUCGGACUCUCGGCUCACGCCGCGCAGCGCGGGCCGUCCAGCCCUCCGGCGCUCGUGACGGUCGGCAGCUGCUCCGCGCGGAGCUGCCCUUCCCC